rfam:Haemonchus contortus, ISE/inbred ISE, WGS project CAVP01000000 data, contig: Hcontortus_24886
GGCACAAACUUGAAAUGGAGUAGAUUGGUAUGGUCAACUGAUUCUACUUAUCUACUUCACUUCGCAUUUGGGCCC